GACGAACGCUGGCGGCGUGCUUAACACAUGCAAGUCGAACGCUGAAGCUCAGCUUUUGUUGGGUGGAUGAGUGGCGAACGGGUGAGUAACACGUGAGUAACCUGCCCCCUUCUUUGGGAUAACGCCCGGAAACGGGUGCUAAUACUGGAUAUUCACUGGUCUUCGCAUGGGGGUUGGUGGAAAGGGUUUUUCUGGUGGGGGGUGGGCUCGCGGCCUAUCGGCUUGUUGGUGGGGUGAUGGCCUACCAAGGCUUUGACGGGUAGCCGGCCUGAGAGGGUGACCGGUCACAUUGGGACUGAGAUACGGCCCAGACUCCUACGGGAGGCAGCAGUGGGGAAUAUUGCACAAUGGGCGCAAGCCUGAUGCAGCGACGCCGCGUGAGGGAUGGAGGCCUUCGGGUUGUGAACCUCUUUCGCUCAUGGUCAAGCCGCAACAAUGGUUGUGGUGAGGGUAGUGGGUAAAGAAGCGCCGGCUAACUACGUG
rnacentral:rRNA from 1 species